AUUGAACGCUGGCGGCAUGCUUUACACAUGCAAGUCGAACGGCAGCGCGGGCUUCGGCCUGGCGGCGAGUGGCGAACGGGUGAGUAAUGCAUCGGAACGUGCCCAGUAGUGGGGGAUAGCCCGGCGAAAGCCGGAUUAAUACCGCAUACGACCUGAGGGUGAAAGCGGGGGACCGAAAGGCCUCGCGCUAUUGGAGCGGCCGAUGUCGGAUUAGCUAGUUGGUGGGGUAAAGGCUUACCAAGGCGACGAUCCGUAGCUGGUCUGAGAGGACGACCAGCCACACUGGAACUGGGACACGGCCCAGACUCCUACGGGAGGAAGCAGUGGGGAAUUUUGGACAAUGGGGGCAACCCUGAUCCAGCCAUGCCGCGUGCGGGAAGAAGGCCUUCGGGUUGUAAACCGCUUUUGUUGGGGAAGAAAUCCUCUGGGCUAAUACCCCGGGGGGAUGACGGUACCGGAAGAAUAAGCACCGGCUAACUACGUG
rnacentral:rRNA from 1 species